GACAGAGGUCCCGAGCGUUAGGCGGAAUCACUGGGCUUAAAGCGUGUGUAGGCGGAUUGGUAAGUACCUUGUGAAAUCCCACGGCUUAACCGUGGAACUGCUUGGUAUACUGCUAAUCUUGGGCCAUCUAGGGGCUACCGGAACAAGUGGUGGAGCGGUGAAAUGCGCAGAUAUCGGGAGGAACACCAAUGGCGAAGGCAGCUCGCUGGGACGUUACUGACGCUGAGACGCGAAAGCGUGGGGAGCAAACAGG
rnacentral:rRNA from 1 species